rnacentral:sRNA from 1 species
GCCAGGUGCAGUGGCACACACCUGUAAUCCCAGCAGCUUGGGAGGCUGAGGCAGGAGGAUCACCAGUUCAAAGCCAGCCUCAGCAACAGUGAGGUACUAAGGAAGUCAGUGAGACCUUGUCUCUA